rnacentral:rRNA from 1 species
GGGUUGUGAGGUUAAGCGACUAAGCGUACACGGUGGAUGCCCUGGCAGUCAGAGGCGAUGAAGGACGUGCUAAUCUGCGAAAAGCGACGGCGAGGUGAUAUGAACC